rnacentral:rRNA from 1 species
AGAGUUUGAUCAUGGCUCAGAAUCAACGCUGGCGGCGUGCCUCAGACAUGCAAGUCGAACGCGAAAGUUUCCUUCGGGAGACAAGUAGAGUGGCGCACGGGUGAGUAACACGUAGGUAAUCUACCUUCGGAUGGGGAAUAACAAUCGGAAACGGUUGCUAAUACCGCAUAAUGCAGCGGCACCUAAUGGUGACAGUUGUUAAAGCGGGGGAUCGUAAGACCUCGCGUCUGAAGAGGAGCCUGCGGCGGAUUAGCUAGUUGGUAAGGUAACGGCUUACCAAGGCAACGAUCCGUAACCGGCCUGAGAGGGCGGUCGGUCACACUGACACUGACAUACGGGUCAGACUCCUACGGGAGGCAGCAGUCGGGAAUUUUGGGCAAUGGGCGAAAGCCUGACCCAGCAACGCCGCGUGAAGGAUGAAAUCCCUCGGGAUGUAAACUUCGCAAGAACGGGAAGAAUAAGUUUCAGUUAAUAUCUGAAACGAUGACGGUACCGUUUGUAAGCUCCGGCUAACUCCGUGCCAGCAGCCGCGGUAAUACGGGGGGAGCAA